GACGGCGGCUAUUCCAGGAGACUGGAGCAGGAGACGUUUUCAAAGGCACAGUGAGGAUGACAGCAUAACACCAUUUGGAAUAACCCUGGGCUAAUAAUCAGUCCAGGAUUAACAGAUGUUGAGCAGAUGCCCUUGCACAAGUCUUAUGAUGAUUUUUUUUUUUGGUGUAGUUUUGUAGUGGGCUUUGGUCAAGGUUGGGGAUCUGACAGAGUCUUCUGUGGUCAUUUCUGUUAUCAGGCAUGUGCACACAAGAUGUAUUUCGUAACCUCUGGCUUCCUUUCUUUUAGUUUAUGUUUGGUUUGGGCUUCACAAAGCGACCCUGUUUUGAGUCUGAAAAGUUUGGCACUGUCGAAAGUCAUCAGUUUUUUUAAUGCCAACCUCCUUCAGUAGCCCCCUGUCAUAAUAACAGUACUUACUAGAAACGUCUGUGUGUGUGUGUAUGACUUCCACAGGAGAUUCAGCCCAGGGCCUUGGCAUGCCAGGCAAGUCCUCUAAGCACUCUACAACUGAGCUACAGUCUCAGCACCCCCUCUUCUUCUUUUCUUUUUAAAUUUUAUUUUCAACAAGGUCUCACUAUAAAGCUCAGGCUGGCUUCACACUUGUGGUCCUCUUGUCUUAGUCUCUUGAAUAGCUGGGAUUGUGGGUAUGUGCCACCACACCCCACUAACAUACUUGUUUUGUUUUUUAUUUUAAAGAGAAUAAAAUCAAACAAGAUAAAACAGAAUAAAGCUAAUCAGAACAAUGAAAGUGAUACAAGACUUCAAAACAAUAUAAUAAGAAAUCAGUGAUGACUACCAUAAUGUCUUGUUUUCUUCAAAAUAGCUGUUCAUACCAUCAGGCAUAAUAAGAUAAAACAGAAUAAAACCAAUUUAAAAAAAGAACAAAAGUGUAUUUUAAAGAGAGUAAAAAAAAACAGAUUAAAGCCUGUCAAAACAAAACAAUGAAAGUGAUACAUGAUUGAAAAACAGGAUAAUAGGAAAUCAACAAAGGCUACUGUUAAUGCUUCUUGUUGUCUUCAAAAUUGCUGCCCAUAGCAGCAGAUAUGAUACAAAUCAAAGCAGAACAGAAUGAAACCAAUCAGAACACUGAAUAAGACAAAGCAAUAAAAUGGAAAAAAACAAAACAGUGAAAACAAUAUUGGAUUUCAAAAACAAGACAGAAGGAAAUCUUCCAUAUUUGCUGUUACACAUUGUUAUCCUCUUAAUAGAUGCUCAGACUACCAGCCUUAGGCCUGCAAAGGCAAUCAAACAAUACAAGCAUUAAGUUGUUUUGGUACCUCAAGUGCUAUCAACUCAGUCUGUCCUUGAAUUAGGUGGUUGCUUACAGGGUUGCUGUUGAUGGUGGGGUUUUUGACUCCCAGCCCACUUGCCAGUUGGCUCAAGGGAAGGCAAAUUGGCUUCUUGUUCUUCUUGUUACUCCUCUCAGGCCCUUAAAGUACUUACUUUUAAACAGAGGUACAGAUGUGCUCAAAUAAAGGGAGUGCUUUUCAAGUCCUUCUUUCUGUUGAUUCUUGUUGUGUGACAUUCUCGUAGGUCAUAUAAGUGAGUGAACUAUGCCUUGUUUCAUGUCUUUCUUUGUGCUUCCUAUACGUGCUGUCCUGUGUCUGGCCUGGUGUGUGGAAGCCAUGAGCCAGGGGGUGGAUAACCAGGGCGCCCUGGAGAACCUGACAGCCUCAGGGGUGGGAGGCAGACCUGGUGGAGGUGUCUGCAGGUCUUUUGCACAGCCCUGGGAGGCUGUGUGGUGGCAAUGAUGCAGAUCCUGGCAAACCUCCACCCCCUUAGCAGUUGAAAGGAAGUGCUGGAUGCUACAAGUCCAGCAAACUGGCGUAAUGUGGGAGAAUAACAUCUUGCUGCUUCAGGAGCCUCUCUGGAGCCAUCUUGCUGGAUCUCUUUGAGUCACAUGAUUAUCAUAACGCUGUAUCAAUACGUUUUGAGAAGCAGCUCAUUGGGGGUUGAAUAAAAGUGGAUUUUAGGUGUAACUGCCUCAAACCAGGUAGAACACAUGACAUUCUUAACUUGGGCCUCUGUAGGCAGUCCCGGCCUAUCAAGGGUUUAUGCUGUGAAAAUUGUUACGCAAAUUGGACCCAUUUCUAGCACACUCCACUAUGAUGGAUUGGGAACCACAGGAGACGAUAGAUACUCUGGUCAUGGAUGUCUGCUCCAGGAACUACCUGCUAAGACCAAGCCGAUAAAACAGUAUUGCUUAAGUUUAAAGCUAAUUUUACUUAGCGGCUGACAAUGACCCUUUGGAAUUCCCUGAAGAAACUGAGCCCUAGCCUCUGUUUUCUUUACAACAGGAUCUGGCCUCCUUCGCCUGUUACCCUCCUGGGAACUGCCUUGUUUCUGAAGCCCAGCCAAGCCUGGGAUCCUGCCUGACGCCACUGCCACGUUUGUAGACGUCUGUGAGCAGUCUGCAGGAAGCCCAGCUCCUUCUCGCUGGGCCUCCUGGGUUUGGACUGUGCUCCGUGUCUCCUGCCAUGUUCUCCACACACGUCUGCCUGCCAGGCUGAAGCUUCUACCCACCCUUCCUUCCUUUUUUCCUGCCAGCAAGUCCAUCAAACCCCAGCUCCCAGUUUCCCAAUCCAUCUAUUCUCCUUUACCAAGCCCGCUCCCUGGUGGCCUCUAGGGUAGGAAGAAAGUUAACCUCUAGGACUGGGCUCAUUUGAAAUCUGGCCGCUCUAUUCUCCUCUUCUUCCAGGAUCUAUUUAAAAACUGUUCCGGGUGCACAGGAAGCAGAAGCAUUCUUUUCUGGGCCUGCAAGCCAGAGGGGCCGAGUGAGGACCUUGCUUCCUGCUGGGAGUCUCAGGUCUAGUUUAGGACAAAGCCCAUCUUUCCUUGGACCCCACAAGGAGAGACAGGAAAGCCGCCAAGGAGGAGCAGAAAGCUGCCAGCAGAACCCCAGCCAGGCCCCAGACCUGCGUGUCUGAGUGUUCCAACGUUUUGCUAUGCAGUUUAGACUGGAUUUGAACUCACUUUGUAACCCAGGAUGGCCUCAAACUUGCACAUCAAUAUCCCUCCUUGGCCUCCUAAGUGCUGGGAUUACAGGCGUGUACCACCAUACCUGGCUUGGCAAACAUUCAGAUACGGUUGCAGCAUAUUUGUUUUAUGCAUGAACUUGGCCUACAUGAAGCCAGAUUUCGUAAGCUCUCAGCUUCAUACUAUUGCAUUUGAAGUUCUAGGUUUGGGUGAGAAGAGGGUCAUAUAUUGUGAAGAAGCCAAGAAACAUUUGUUUAAUGAGUUUUGAAAACUGUAUGUUGUUAUUUUGCUAAUAAAACAUUGGAGAAGUUA